GAUGAACGCUGGCGGCGUGCCUAAUACAUGCAAGUCGAGCGAACAGACGAGGAGCUUGCUCCUCUGACGUUAGCGGCGUACGGGUGAGUAACACGUGGAUAACCUACCUAUAAGACUGGGAUAACUUCGGGAAACCGGCGCUAAUACCGGAUAAUAUAUUGAACCGCAUGGUUCAAUAGUGAAAGACGGUUUUGCUGUCACUUAUAGAUGGAUCCGCGCCGCAUUAGCUAGUUGGUACGGUAACGGCUUACCAAGGCAACGAUGCGUAGCCGACCUGAGAGGGUGAUCGGCCACACGGGAGGUGAGACACGGUCCAGGCGCCUAAGGGAGGCAGCAGUAGGGAAUCUGCCGCAAUGGGCGAAAGCAUGACGGAGUAACGCCGCGUGAGUGAUGAAGAUCUUCGGAUCGUAAAACUCUGUUAUGAGGGAAGAACAAAUGUGUAAGUAACUAUGCACGUCUUGACGGUACCUAAUCAGAAAGCCACGGCUAACUACGUG
rnacentral:rRNA from 1 species